UUAGUUUAGACAAAUGAUUUUGGGAAAAAUGCUUACAUUCAAAGUAACUGGCAUUUUUCACAACAGUUUGUGUGUCACAUCAUUAGUUCAACUUAUGUAGACAGGUCAUACAUGAGUUCUCCAUUUAAAAUAAAAUGCAUGACAAUCAUAGUAAUCUAAAAAGACCACUUUAAAAGAGUUUUACCCUAUCCUGAGUCUGAUAUCUUAUUGAUAAGAAAAAAAAAAAAAAAGCUAGAACCGGACCGUUCUGUUUUCCAGCUCUAGAGGAGGGGUGGGAUUCUGGGGCUUGUGUUCCGGAUGGAGUCUUCUGAGAAUAAGGAAGUUGUGGGAGAUGGCUAGUAAGGGAGUGUACACCCUUCAUCCAGGAUUUCAGGACCCUGCCUCCUUUCUAACACCAAUUGCUCCUGCCUGGAGGAGGACACCUUUUGCUGCCUGGCCCAAGGAAGAAGGAUAUUGGAUUGAUGUGCCUCUGGCUUCUCCUAAUGCCCUGUCCCAACCAAGAACUUGUAGGAAAAUGUGACCUAAUCUCAAGAGAAGAGACACCCAAUAGAUACCAACCCUCAGAUGAGCCAGAUAAUGGCAUUACCAGACAAGGACUUUGGAGCAGUGUCAAACUCUAUCUAGUGAGGUCUUUAGACAAACUCAACCAACUGUCAACCAGAAAACGUUUACAUUCACCGAUGGCCUGAAAGCCGCCCGACCCCGCUUUGAGUGGUUCCACCUUUCUGGACCAAACCAAUGUAUUUCUUAAAUGUAUG